GCCCGGGUAGCUCAGAGGUAGAGCAGCGCCCUCGUAAUGCGCAGGUCGUGGGUUCGAGUCCCACCUCGGGCU
rnacentral:tRNA from 1 species